GCUCUGUGCGGUGUGUUGUAGUGCUCUGUGCUGUGUGUUGUAGUGCUCUGUGCGGUGUGUUCUAGUGCUCUGUGCGGUGUGUUGUAGUGCUCUGUGAGGUGUGUUCUAGUGCUCUGUGCUGUGUGUUGUAGUGCUCUGUGAGGUGUGUUGUAGUGCUCUGUGCGGUGUGUUCUAGUGCUCUGUGCGGUGUGUUCUAGUGCUCUGUGCGGUGUGUUCUAGUGCUCUGUGAGGUGUGUUGUAGUGCUCUGUGAGGUGUGUUGUAGUGCUCUGUGAGGUGUGUUCUAGUGCUCUGUGAGGUGUGUUCUAGUGCUCUGUGAGGUGUGUUCUAGUGCUCUGUGCUGUGUGUUGUAGUGCUUUGUGCGGUGUGUUGUAGUGCUCUGUGCUGUGUGUUGUAGUGCUUUGUGCGGUGUGUUGUAGUGCUCUGUGCUGUGUGUUGUAGUGCUCUGUGCUGUGUGUUGUAGUGCUCUGUGCUGUGUGUUCUAGUGCUCUGUGAGGUGUGUUCUAGUGCUCUGUGCUGUGUGUUGUAGUGCUCUGUGCUGUGUGUUGUAGUGCUCUGUGCUGUGUGUUGUAGUGCUCUGUGCUGUGUGUUGUAGUGCUCUGUGCUGUGUGUUGUAGUGCUCUGUGCUGUGUGUUCUAGUGCUCUGUGCGGUGUGUUCUAGUGCUCUGUCUCGAAUCCACGUUGUUCCUUUGCAUUGUGUAUUGAACAUUUAGACUAUGGCUGAAAAGGUCAUUUGGCGUGCUGUUGUGAGCUGCCCGACUCCGUUCAGAUUCCAAGGCUAAACCAUAAUUUGUGACAUCACGACGUCGUCACCAUCGACGACAGCCCGCUGAUAAUAUCGGGCCAAUCCUAAUUGACACCUCCGUCUCUCUCUCUCUCUCUCCCAGUAACCUGUAUCGUCUUCCCCUUCUCACACUUUUCUUUUGUGGCUCUCUCAUUUCCCUCUCAUUCUGUCUGUCUUUCUAUCUCUGACAUGUCAUUAUAGAAUAAAUAAAAAUAUAUGUUAAAUUAUUUACCUGGUUAAAUCAAUGUCAAAUUGUCUUUUAUUUAUAUUUUUCUCUCUCUGUCUCUCUCUCUCUGUCUCUCUCUGUCUCUCUCUGUCUCUCUCUCAAUUCAAUUCAAUUCUCUCUCUCUCUCUCUCUCUCUCUCUGUCUCUCUCUCUCUCUGUCUCUCUCUCUCUGUCUCUCUCUCUCUCUGUCUCUCUCUCUCUCUGUCUCUCUCUCUCUGUCUCUCUCUCUGUCUCUCUCUCUCUCUGUCUCUCUCUCUCUGUCUCUCUCUCUCUGUCUCUCUCUCUCUGUCUCUCUCUCUCUGUCUC